AGCAGGCACAGUCCACGAUCCUUUAUCCCUACAAUAUUUUUUUAAGCUGCUAGCUACAAUGUUUUUAAUCUGUUGAUGUGCAUUACUGCAUUAGAUUUUGAAUAAGUGCUGACCAUAUUGAUUUAUUUGAACUAUUGGAUUAUAAGAAAAUAAUGGAGUCAGUGAAUACCACUAUUAAUAAUUUGGAUGAUGAUGAAGUUACGAAAAUUCUUUCCACUAAAAGCACUAAAAGAG
rnacentral:lncRNA from 1 species